CCCUUAGAUGUUCUGGGCCGCACGCGCGCUACACUGACGAUGGCAACGAGUUUUUCCUUCGCCGAAAGGUGUGGGUAAUCUUUUGAAACAUCGUCGUGCUGGGGAUAGAUCCUUGCAAUUUUUGAUCUUGAACGAGGAAUUCCUAGUAAGCGCGAGUCAUCAGCUCGCGUUGAUUACGUCCCUGCCCUUUGUACACACCGCCCGUCGCUACUACCGAUUGAAUGGUUUAGUGAGGACUCCUGAUUGGCGCCGCCGCCCCGGCAACGGAGCAGCGGACUGCCGAAAAGUUGUUCAAACUUGAUCAUUUAGAGGAAGUAAAAGUCGUAACA
rnacentral:rRNA from 1 species